rnacentral:lncRNA from 1 species
UUAGUGCCCCAUCUGAUGCUAUAAAUAGGGGAUGGCAGAAGGGUUGAUCAUUCAAUUCUUACAUCCCCUAUCCACUCCCUCUCUUACAACUCUAGGGUUUAGGAUGAAGGCUUAUUCUUUUAAGACAAACCUAAUCCUAUUAGCUCUAAGUAUUUAAGAGAUCCAGAAAAAGGUGGUCAGGUCCAGUGGGUGGUUCUGAGUGGUUCAGACUCAGAUCUAAAGGAAGGUCUGAUCGAUUGGUGGCUAGUCGAGUUCUAGGGGUUAGAACUCUUGAAGCUAGGUGAAGAAGGAGCACUGUUCUUGGUUCAAUUUCUAUAUGGAUCACUAUUGGAGGAUAGAUAUUUAGAUUCCUCAUGAAAAUUGGAUUAGUGCUAUAAAUAUUCUUCUGAUCCAAAUUUACAUUUAUUGUUCUUUGAUUGAUAUAGUCAAGGAUUUCUGGGUAUUAGGAUUUUUGGUGCAUCGGGUGUUUUAAAUAAAAAUUUUAAACACCUAACCCUUCAGUUGUACCAUCAGAAUAUAAUAAUUUCUAGUAUCUGGUAGU